UUUUUUAGUAGAGACAGGGUUUCACCAUGUUAACCAGGAUGGUCUGGAUCUCCUGACCUCGUGAUCCGCCCACCUCAGCCUCCCAAAGUGCUGGGAUUACAGGCAUGAGCCACCGCGCCCGGCCGCCCUAAACUCCUACUUGGGUUUUCACUUCUCUUUUGUGAAGCCUCAUUAUGUAUGCAAAAUAAAAUUUUUCUACUGUUAAUCUGUCGUUUAUCAGUUUAAGUGACAGGCUGGGGCUGGGCGCCGUGGCUCACGCCUGUAAUCCCAGCACUUUCGGGAGGCCGAGGUGGCCGGAUCACGAGGUCAGGAGAUCGAGACCAUCCUGGCUAACACAGUGAAACCCCGUCUCUACUAAAAAAUACAAAAAAUUAGACGGGCGUGGGCCGGUCGCGGUGGCUCCCGGCUGUAAUCCUAGCACUUUGGGAGGCCGAGGCGGGCGGAUCACGAGGUCAGGAGAUGGAGACCAUCCUGGCUAACACGGUGAAACCCCGUCUCUACUAAAAAUACAGAAAAUUAGCCGGACGAGGUGGCGGGCCCUGUAGUCCCAGCUACUCGGGAGGCUGAGGCAAGAGAAUGGCGUGAACCCCAGGGGGCGGAGCCUGCAGUGAGCCGAGAUUGCGCCCCACUGCACUCCAGCCUGGGCAACAGCGAGACUACGUCUCAAAAAAAAAAAAA
rnacentral:lncRNA from 10 species